AUGAAGCAGGGUUAAGAGGAUUCUGUUUUCAGCAAGUAGUGAAUUCCCCAGAAGCUUUUCCCACUUAGUCCGGAUGCAUCCAUACGAUGUGAAGUUGGGCUUAAUUGCUUCGUGUUGGUGGCAGAGCUCUGAAGAUGAGGACUGGCUUUCCUACUGGAGAGCUGGCCCGUGGACCAGGCAUCUAUUGCUGAGGCCAGAUGAAAAUGGGCCAGGGCCUCUGGCCACACGCUGCCACAGCCAAGAGAGAUGGAGCAAAGCCAUGCAGUGUCAACUUAGGUUUGAGAAAGGGGUCAGGUCAAAGUGCUGGAAGGACUCCCCAUCACUGAGUUCCUUGCCAUCAACACAACUGCAGAGCAGAGCAGAAGUGACCACACAUCCAGAGGCCACUGUGGAGGAAACACAGCAUCAGGCCCUUUCAACACUUAGUUAAUCCUCAUGUUGGCCCCAUGGAAUUAUUUUAUUUUCCUACUUUAUACACAGGAAGUCGAAGCUUGGAGAGAUUCUGUGAAUUGGUGAAGGACACAGAGCAAAGCCAGGAUUCAGAUUCAGACCUGCUUGACUCCAAGAUCAUUCCAGAAAUCUCCCUUUUCCUUUGGACCCUGUGACGUGACAGCUGGGUUCUUUCUGCUCUGAUUUCCAUGCCUGACAACCAUUUAAAUGGAAUACAAGAAUGCAGGUAACUGAAGAAACCCAUGGAGAGAGUUUUCUUAGGUUGAAAGAAAUUCACCCUUUAUCAAGAAUUAUUUAUAGUUCCUCUGGAGUGAGAGAGGAAGACAUUACCCACGCAGUGCUCUGUGGAAUCAUCUGAGCCACCACUUCUGCCUUGGGGACAUCAUCUGGGGAAGUAUCUAGAUCCUUUGGCUGAACAACGUGUUUUGAGGUCUUUAAUAUGUCACCUUAAGGAUGAGGCCUAGAGAACAUGGCCUUUUGUUGAACAGUUUGUAAGCUCUCAAAUGUGAGUAAAUGUGAGGAGGGUCUUGAGAGAUAUAGGAAGCUCAAGAAACCUAGCUAGAGUCUCUAGACUGUUGAGAAAAGUGGUGAGAAGAAAUUCCCAUUGUGGGGGAUGGGAGUGGUGGUUCAGGAGGAUUUUUGAGAAUGGGGAUAGAGAGCCUAGAAAUAAGGCCACACACCCAUGGCCAUCUGAUCUUCGACAAAGCAAGCAAUGAGUAAUGGACUCCUUGUUCAAUAAAUGGUGCCGGGUUGACUGAUUAGCCAUAUGCAGAAGAUUGAAACUGGACUCCUUCCUCACACCAUAUACAGAAAUCAACUCAAGAUGGAUUAAAGACUUAAAUGUAAAACCCAGAACUAUAAAAACUCUGGAAGACAACCUAGGCAAUACCACCCUGGAUAUAGGAACGGGCAAAGAUUUCAUGAUGAAGACACUAAAAGCAAUUGCAGCAAAAGCAAAAAUUGACAAAUGUGAUCUGAUUAAACCUAAGAGCUUCUGCACAGCAAAAGAAAUUAUCAACAGAGUAAACAGAGUAAACAACCUAUAGAAUAGGAGAAAAUAUUUGCAGACUAAGUAUCCAACAAAGGUCUCAUAUCCAGCAUCUAUAAGGAACUUAAACAAAUUUAUAAGAAAUAACUAACAAUUCCAACAAAAAGUGGGCAAAGUAUAUGAACAGACACUUUGCUAAAGUAGACAUAUAUGUGGCCAACAAGCAAAUGAAAAAAAGCUCAAUAUCAUGAUCAUUAGAGAAAUGCAAAUCAAAGCCACAAUAAGAUAUAUCAUCUCACACCAGUCAGAAUGGCUAUUAUUAAAAAGUCAAAAAAUAACCGAUGGCUGGUAAAGUUGCAGAGAAAAGGAAAUACUUAUACACUGUUAGUUGGAGUUUAAAUUAGUUCAACCAUUAUGGAAAGCAGUGUGGUGAUUCCUCAAAGAGCUAAAAACAGGACUACCAUUUGACCCAGCAAACCUAUUACUGGGUAUAUGCCCAGAGGAAUAGAAAUCAUUCUACCAUAAAAACAUGUGCAACAAAUGUUCAUUGUAGCACUAUCCAAAAUAGCAAAGACAUGGAAUCAACCUAAAUGUCCAUCAAUGACAGAUUGGAUAAAAAAUGUAGUACAUAGGUCCCAUGGAAUACUAUGCAACCAUAAGAAAGAACAAGAUCAUGUCUUUUGCAGGAACAUGAUGGAGCUGGAGGCCAUUAUCCUUAGCAAACUAAUGCAGAAACAGAAAACUAAAUAGUGCAUGCUCUUACUCAUAAGAGGGAGCUAAAUGAGGAGACAUCAUGAAUACAAAGAGGGGAACAACAGACACUGGGACCUCUUUGAGGGUGGAGGGUAGGAGGAGGGAGAGGAGCAGAAAAACAUUAAUCUUGUUGUACAGAUUAUUUUGUCACCCAGGUACUAAAUGUGGUACUAUUGGGUACCCUACCACUGUUUUAUCAAACAAGUUUCUGUAAUAGUAUAAAUCCUUUGUUGUCAUUACAACAAUGUUCAUGGCAUCUUCACCAGGAGUAAAUCUCAUCUCAAGAAACCACUUUUUUUGCUUAUCCAUAAGAAGCAACUCCUCAUCUAUUCAAAUUUGAUCAUGAGAUUGCAGCAAUCUGGUCACAUCUUCAGGUUCACUCUAAUUCAAGUUCUCUUGCUGUUUCUACCACAUCCACAGUUACUUCCUUCACUGAAAUUUUGAACCUGUCAAAAUUUGGUACCUUACUGUUGUGUACCAGGUUUAGUACCUGGGUGACAAAAUAAUCUGUACAACAGACCCCCCGUGAUACCAGUUAACCUAGGUAACAAACCUGCACAUGUACUCCUGAACCUGAAAUAAAAAAAAAAAAAAUGGGAAUUUUUAGGUUACAAGUUCUUUUUCUGUGAAAUAAGUCCCCAGCCAUUGCAUCAAAUACUCAGUAAAUCCUUCUAGCAAUAUGGGAGUGAUUUGGGCAAAAUCAGAAGAAACCCACAAAAACUCUGUUGCACAUCAUUGUGCUGAACCUCUAUUAAUCUCAGUAGGGAAGACACCAGGCUCAAGAGGCCAAAGAAGACACUCAGAGCCAGUAAAUGAGACAUGGGGUCUUAUUAGGGGCUUCCACACAAGGGAGACAGUGCAGCGACAGCGGGCUGGACAAGAUAACCACAGGGCCCAGUAGCUGCGGGCUGGAGAGGAAAACCACAACUGCCUGCAAAUGU
rnacentral:lncRNA from 10 species